rnacentral:rRNA from 1 species
UACGUAGGGUGCGAGCGUUGUCCGGAAUUAUUGGGCGUAAAGAGCUCGUAGGCGGUUUGUCGCGUCGACUGUGAAAACCUACAGCUUAACUGUGGGCUUGCAGUCGAUACGGGCAGACUUGAGUUCGGUAGGGGAGACUGGAAUUCCUGGUGUAGCGGUGAAAUGCGCAGAUAUCAGGAGGAACAUCGGUGGCGAAGGCGGGUCUCUGGGCCGAUACUGACGCUGAGGAGCGAAAGCGUGGGGAGCGAACAGG